AUCUACGGCCAUGCCACCCUGAACAAGCCCGAUCCCGUCUGAUCUCGGAAACUAAGCAGAGUCGGGCCUGGUUAGUACUCGGAUGAGAGACCACCUAGGAAGACCAGGUGCUGUAGGCA
rnacentral:rRNA from 1 species